CCGGCGGCUGCGAGGUUUGCUUGGUGAACCGCCUGGGAGAGUGCGUGUGUUUUUGAUCAGGCGUCAGGAGGCUACUUCUGAAAAGAGAGAUGUCGGGACUCCAGCUUCCACGGGAACCGGACCCUCUCGCCCGAAACUUGCUCCUUCAACCUAAAUCUAUGGGGGAAAGCACUCUGCCCAUGGUCAACAUUAUUUUUAUUGUGAUUACUUGGUCAAUAUCAUUACAGGGUCAACAUCAUUUUUAUUGUGAUUAUUUCAUAGAUCGGGUCUUAGAAACAGAUUCUGGCGCAGUUCUAAAAGCCCUCCCCACAAUUUAACUCAGCCCUGCCCCCCCCCACGCCCCGUCUCUGUUUAUGACGUCUUGUUUCUUUCUUUAGUUCCCAGAAUUAAUGUGGACGCUGCCUGGUUUACACACGCAUCAAGAUGAGAUGGUGGACUCCUGAGGAGGUAGAAUGGACUGUACUGCAUCGGACUCUAGGUGGGAGAUCUAUGGUCUGGUCACAUUUGGAGUACUGCAUAUGGUUCUGGUCAUCAUAUCUUAAGAAGGACAUUGUAGAACUGGAAAAGGUGCAGAAGAAAACCAAUAUGAUCGGGAAACAGGAGUCAUCCCAUGAAACUGAAGGCCAGGAAUUUUAGAAACAACAGAAGGAAGGACUUUUUCACACAUGGCUGUUUUAUCAUUAUUGUGAACUUCCUGGUGAACCAUUGUGAUUGAAAACCAUUGUGGGGAGCCGUACCCUGCUCACCACUCUGAGACACUACUAAUGAGGGAGGUCUGUUCCCCAAACUUGCGAGGUUAAAAACUUUAUAAUUUUGCGGACCCAUUUUACUGAGAAUCUCUUCCUCCCUUUAUCAAGCUUCCACUGCCACCACCAAGCUCUUCUGGCUUAGGUUUUUGUCCUGACAACCCCUAGUAGUGUAGCUGAGGGCUGUGUGGGGAGAAGCAUAACUCACAGGACUCUGAGUGCACUUUAAAAUAAAACAAAGUCAAGUUUAUUGAUGUACAUGUAGCUUAAAGGUUUCUCUCUACCAAAGCAGGGCUUUACACGCAUAAUGGUUUCUAUAACAAUGUUUCAAACUUAGUACUUUAACAGAGGUUAGACUUAUAAGUUACCGAGGUGCAAGUGUUGGAUAAAACAAGCGUUCCCUGAUUCCUAGCCUUUUUACUGGAAACAAACACCCUGGUUGAAGAUCCAUGUAAAUACCAUACACAUCCAACAUUCAUACACUGGUGUGUACAACUUACUAACCACCUCCCAGUAUCCAGCCCAGAGACCCACCCUAGAGAUCCUAUCCCUCGCCCUAACCGUCCUUGUCAUUGGCUCAUCCAAGCCCUUUUUGACUCUGAGAGCGACUGGUUCGACAGUUUAACUGCCACUCUCUGCUCCAUUCUAAAGCCCCUUCCUCAGGAAUCCCACUUGGAAGGCGGUCCCUUGGGCUUCAAAUAAUGAUUGGCAGCUCUAGUGCUGCUGCCAGACAUCACACAGACACCGAAGGUUGGUGUAAUGUAGAGGCUAAGAGACUGAGUUAGAGAUCAGGAAGUCUUUUAUUUGAAUCUCCUCCAAGCCAUGAACUCACUAGCUGGCUUUAGGCAAGCCACUCUGCCACAUCUCUCCAUCUGCAACUGGGGGAUAAUAAUACCUUACCAAGUUGUAAGGCUUGGGUCCAGGGUGUUUAAGUGAUCAUCUUAAUAGAUGAUCUUGAUAAAUGAUCAUCUGGGGAAGUCCGGUUACAGUUGCCACUGGCUCGUUUGGUGACUUGGAACUGGGCCUUCUCUGUGGCUGCCCCAGGGCUCUGGAAAGCACCUUUCAGCUCAGGCACCACUCAUCUUCUUCCAAGCAGCCUCAGAGCCAGCAGCUGGGAAUAGAAGGCAUGCAUGUGCUCCAGGGCCACUUGGAAAGAGUUGAUCAGCAUUUGAUUGGUUGGCAACGUGCCGUGAGGCAGCGCUGGUGGCAGAGCAGCAGUGCUGGUGGCAGCAGCAUUGCCACCAAUGGUGAGGGGGGCAUGCAUGCAAAGCAUGUGACACUGCUGGGGGGCUGCUGGGGAGGGCAAGAGGCUGCAUAUCCCACUGAUAAGGGGACCCCUCUCUCCCUUAAUGCCAGGGCUGAUUUUUAGUCCCAGUCGGUUACUGAACAGAAUUAUGUAAAGAGAUAAGUGUUGCCAAUGCCAGGCGUUUCUUUCUUCCAAGAUUUCUUCCAGUCUUCCUUGGCUCACUGUAUAGGUCCCCUCUGUACAUAUGUAGCCACUUUAUUUUUCAACACAGAUUGUGUUGGGCUGCAACACAACAUGAGACAUUUUUUAAUGUGAACUAUAGACACCAUGAGUUAUGUUCCUUCUAGCAUAAAUGAUGAUUUGAUGUGGUGCUUAGCCUAUUUUCAGGGAUGCACCAAAUCAAGGAUUGUGCUCAUAAUAUUUAGCUAGUCCAUUCACCAAGUGCAAAGUAGGGAGCAGACAAGUCCUCUAUCUCAGAUUUCUAUUGAGUCACUGGGGGUGGAAUUCUCAGUAAAGUUUAAGGUCUACUUUUGUAUAUAUCAAAGUUUACAUUGCAAAAAAGCCCCCCAAACACUGCUUCUUUUUUGCACAUUUGUUGGGGUUACUUAUUAAUGUCACCCAAUAUAACUAUGGCAAUGUUAUAAUACAAGAUAACUGUCACCCUUUUGUAAAGAAAAUGAUUUUCUCUUUGAUAUGCAUACCUAGUAAAUAGUUCACUUUAUUGUUUUAGUAAAAGUCACUCACUGUGUAGAACUAGGGAGUCGGUUCUCCUGAGAAAUAAACACAAGUAGUCUGAAACCUCUGUGUAUAUAUGAAAAAGACUGUAUAAUCAUAGGGAAAUUUUCUGGGAAGCUGAAUACCUGAACAAUUUCCUUCUGUAGAGUCCCAUUCCUGUUUAGCUCCUAAUCCAGAACUCGGCAAAGAAGAACAGACAAAGGGCCAUACAGAAACCACUGGGGGGAAACAUGCCCAAUGUUAAUCAUGAGAUCAACUGCUUUAUGGCCUUAAGAAUUCAAUAUAGCUUUCACUUGUGGGGGGAAAAAUGUAUUUCUUUGACAUGGAUAACCAGACCUUUAAAUAAACAAUAAAAGCCCCCCGCCCCCACAUUAUUUAGGAUGGUCCUAAAAAGUGCAAAAACAACAACCUAUAUAUCCAUUAGUCCCCAGCUAAUGGCAAAUGCUGCACUUUUUAGCAGGGUGGGUAAAUUAAAUCAACACCCUGUGCUCAGUGGAGAGACCGAGAGCAGUUUCUCCUACAAGAAUAUAGUGAAACAUAGUUGCACUGAAAACUUUCCGUGAACAAACUCCCUUUACACUUGACCUUAAUGAGCAUUGAGUUUGAAGGUGCUGGGGUAGCUGCCAACUAUUAAACAGAAUCCUCACUGUAUGUGUGAGGUUCACAGCUCUACAACUACAAAGCUGAUUCUUGCUGUGUUGGGGCUGAUUUCCGUGCCAGAUCUCUCUCACAGAAAUGGGAAGGACAACUCCAUUAGAAAGUGGUGGGGCAGGCUACAGAACUAGGAGCUGGGUUUAUAACAACAACAACAACAACAACAACAACAUCUAGCCUUUAUGAAGCACAUUUAGAGUCUUCAAACUGCUUCACAUAAAAGCCCUAUUCACAUGUCAUGUCCAAUGCACUUACAAUCUAGCCUUGUUCAGGCAUUACAAAAAAAGUGGGGACACUGUAGUCAUGUACAGCAUUCUUAAGGACACACUCCAAAGCCCCUGCCUUGGUGCUGAUGUGCUCUGAAGCACCACCAUCCCCCAGCUGUCACAGCAUUUGUCUACAGAAACAAAUGCUGUAUUUGUGGAUAAAUUCUCCCAUGAUGCAGAAUGCUGGGAUGCCCCACCAUUCGGAUCAUGGGAAGAAUCUGUCAGCGAGUACAAUAUUUGUUUCUGUAGACAAAUACAGAAACCUGAGGGGCAAUGUUUCAGCGGGGUGGAGUUUCAGAGUCUGCCAGGGUCAGGGCGGGGCUUCAGAGUGUGCUUUUGAGAAUGGGCGUGUGAGAAUAGCAUUCCCAGUUUUUAUAAUGCCUGAACAGGGCUUCUGUGUACAGUACAUUCACAAACAUAUCUGUCUGCCUGUAUAGUUAUUUGCACACUAUGGUGAAGACAUGUACAGUAGGAAACUACCUAUCAGUAUCCUGCAUUUGAGGGAACCUAUAGCUCUCUUCAGGCCUUAUCAGCACAAGCAGUGCUCAUGCUUACAGAAGGAAAAGCGGGGAGGAAGCCCCCCCCCGCUGUCUCUCAUCUCCUUCCACUCAAUGAACUUGCUUAGAGCACCAUUUGUUUGAAGGGGGAGGCACCGUAACCGUGUUCACCAGCUAUUUUGGGAGCUGCAACCUCAUUCAAUUGAGGUUGCAGCUUAUGGGAUUGCUGGUGAACACACAUAGGUUUCCUUCAGAGGUUAUGGGGCAGGGUUGGUUAUGGGGCAGGUUAUGGGGCAGUUCUAACUCUCCUAAAGUUAGAACUGAUUCACUCAACCACUGGAUGCUGGAAAUCCGUUUGAAAUUAACACAGAUGAACUUAUGAAGCUGCUUUAGACUAGGGAUGUGCACGGAACUGGUUCAAAGGUGGCAGGGGUUUCCCUUUAAGAGCGGGGGGAGGGUGCACUUACCCCUUCCGCUGCUUUCCCCCCACUGGCGUCGGUUUCUUAAACAGCCCAUUGGGGCAGCAGCGUACGUCCCUGCCGCCCUGUUGCCCUCAUCUUCCGGAUAUGACCGGAA